rnacentral:rRNA from 1 species
UACGUAGGGCGCAAGCGUUGUCCGGAAUUAUUGGGCGUAAAGCGUGCGCAGGCGGUUCGUUAUGUCCGAUGUGAAAGCCCCGAGCUCAACUUGGGAAUGGCAUUGGAAACUGGCGGGCUGGAGUGUGGCAGAGGGGGGUGGAAUUCCACGUGUAGCAGUGAAAUGCGUAGAGAUGUGGAGGAACACCGAUGGCGAAGGCAGCCCCCUGGGCCAACACUGACGCUCAGGCACGAAAGCGUGGGGAGCAAACAGG